AGCGAACGCUGGCGGCAGGCCUAACACAUGCAAGUCGAGCGCCCCGCAAGGGGAGCGGCAGACGGGAGAGCAACACGUGGGAACGUACCCUUCGGUUCGGAACAACCCAGGGAAACUUGGGCUAAUACCGGAUACGUCCGAAAGGAGAAAGAUUUAUCGCCGAGGGAUCGGCCCGCGUCUGAUUAGCUAGUUGGUGGGGUAACGGCCCACCAAGGCGACGAUCAGUAGCUGGUCUGAGAGGAUGAUCAGCCUCACUGGGACUGAGACACGGCCCAGACUCCUACGGGAGGCAGCAGUGGGGAAUAUUGGACAAUGGGCGCAAGCCUGAUCCAGCCAUGCCGCGUGGGUGAUGAAGGCCCUAGGGUUGUAAAGCCCUUUCGGCGGGGAAGAUAAUGACGGUACCCGCAGAAGAAGCCCCGGCUAACUUCGUGCCAGCCGCCGCAGUAACAC
rnacentral:rRNA from 1 species